rnacentral:snRNA from 1 species
ACGCUUACCUCUCAGAGGAGACACUAUGGUCUCAAAGGUGGUUUUCCCAAGGCAGGGCUUAUCCAUUGCAGUCCGGAUGUGCUGACCCUUGCCAUUUCCCCAAAUAUCUCAAUGAGGCUCCUAAAGCACAAGAAGUAACAGCAAGAAUCAAUAAAUGGGAUGGAUUCAAACUAGAAAACUUCUU